rnacentral:rRNA from 1 species
UACGUAGGGUGCAAGCGUCUGUCCGGAAUGAUUGGGCGUAAAGCGUCCGCAGGUGGCUAUGUAAGUCUGCUGUUAAAGAGUGAGGCUCAACCUCAUAAGAGCAGUGGAAACUACAUGGCUAGAGUGCGUUCGGGGCAGAGGGAAUUCCUGGUGUAGCGGUGAAAUGCGUAGAGAUCAGGAAGAACACCGGUGGCGAAAGCGCUCUGCUGGACUGCAACUGACACUCAGGGACGAAAGCUAGGGGAGCGAAUGGG